UACGUAGGGGGCAAGCGUUGUCCGGAUUUAUUGGGCGUAAAGAGCGUGUAGGCGGCCGUACAGGUCAGCUGUGAAAACUCGAGGCUCAACCUCGAGACGUCGGUUGAAACCGUACGGCUAGAGUCCGGAAGAGGAGAGUGGAAUUCCCGGUGUAGCGGUGAAAUGCGCAGAUAUCGGGAAGAACACCCGUGGCGAAGGCGGCUCUCUGGGACGGUACUGACGCUGAGACGCGAAAGCCAGGGGAGCGAACGGG
rnacentral:rRNA from 1 species